GUGUAGUGGUUAGCACGUCUGCUUUACAUGCAGAAGGUCCUGAGUUCAAGUCCCAG
rnacentral:tRNA from 1 species